rnacentral:lncRNA from 10 species
CAUGCCUUGAGCAGAGACUCCACUCCCCAGCCACGGUCAUGCCCAGACUUCUCGACAGCCGUUUCCCUUUGCGUACACUCCCACCCAAGUGCCGUCGGCCUCACCUCUUCUUGACUGGCUUAAGGAUAUGGGAGACAGAGCAGCAGAGGGGAGCUGAGUGACACUAGGUGAGAAGCUGUGCGGCCAGAUGACUUGAGCCUGGGUUGCUAUGACAGCCAGGAAUUUGCGAACCAAACCAGACCUGGAGAAGAAGUCUCUCCUUGGCCCAAAGAGUUUGCAGUUCCAAGUGGUUCUGCUCAUGGUUCCUGUUGUCUUCUUUGACACCUGCCAGAUGGAAGAACCUCUAAACCUGGGAUUUGGAAAUGUCCCAACAGAAAGGCUAUUUCCAAGCUGGCUGAAGCUUGGAAAUAAAUUCGACGGAAUUUAGGUGUGAUAGAAGGAACUUCUUGGCAAGAAAAGCUGGAAAAUAUUACAAUAGGUCCCAGAGAGAACCUCAUUAUCUUCUCGAAAAAAUUUCUAUAUUUGUUUAGUGUUCUGUGGUUUGCUAAGCA